GGUCAGAGUUGGGAAGGUUACUAGUUAGAGUACUGGGGGUCAGGGUUGGGAAGGUUACUAGUUAGAGUACUGGGGGUCAGGGUUGGGAAGGUUACUAGUUAGAGUACUGGGGGUCUGGGUUGGUUACUAGUUAGAGUACUAGGGGUCUGGGUUGGGAAUGUUACUAGUUAGAGUGCUGGGGGUCAGGGUUGGGAAGGUUACUAGUUAGAGUGCUGGGUGUCAGGGUUGGGAAGGUUACUAGUUAGAGUACUGGGGGUCAGAGUUGGGAAGGUUACUAGUUAGAGUACUGGGGGUCAGGGUUGGGAAGGUUACUAGAGUACUAGGGGUCAGGGUUGGGGAGGUUACUAGUUAGAGUACUGGGGGUCUGGGUUGGUUACUAGUUAGAGUACUGGGGGUCAGGGUUGGGAAGGUUACUAGUUAGAGUACUGGGGGUCAGGGUUGGGAAGGUUACUAGAGUACUAGGGGUCAGGGUUGGGGAGGUUACUAGUUAGAGUACUGGGGGUCUGGGUUGGUUACUAGUUAGAGUACUGGGGGUCAGGGUUGGGAAGGUUACUAGUUAGAGUACUGGGGGUC
ensembl:lncRNA